AAAGACCUUCUUAUUUCUUUGUUUGUGGAAUCAUACACUGUUGACUAAUUUCUAAUUUUACAUGUAAAAUGCAAAGUAUACGUUGCCUUUUUACCACCGUAAUUCAUGUUAGGUAGGUUGCUUGAGAGGGUAUAGGUUCUUGUCAUGGUAGAAAAUUUUGCAUCUGACAAUUUCGCAUUGCUCUGUUAAUCAGGCUUUAAAUCUCUACACAGGUCAACUCAGCUUAACCGUCAAUACAGCAAUGUAUCACUGAAGUGUGCAAUGGAAAGCCACUGACAUCGACGACAGAUCAAACUAAUUUCUACAUCAUAAACCGAAGCGAUAGCGGAGGUUUGUGAUAUUGUAUAGCCAAAAGUUCUACAAUUUUCUGCAAAUUAUAGAUAAGGUUGCGGACGUGUACCAUUAGCCUGACACCUAUUGUUCAUAGAUUGUUGAUAAACUUAUGAAUGAACGAACAAUAUAUGUACGACUAUUCUAUUCUAUAAAAUUUUCGGAAAAUCUUAGAAACCCUUUUUAAGAAAAAAGGCCUUGAUCUAUUGUCUAGGUCUCUAGGAGGCGAUUGAGUUAAUUCUGCAUAACCUGAACUGGACCUAUUCUGAAUCUUAAUUUUCUUUUCUUUUUCUUAAAUAGAACAGGGUUUGUUAAUGAUAAAAUUAAUAAAAAAAAAGAUGUGACAAACGGCUUCAGAUUUGUAUUUUUAAUGAUUACAAUAAUAUACUGUAGAACUGAUGGUUAUAUUUACUUAAAUUUGACUAAACUUUUACCAAAAUACUAACUAGUCAAUAUCAAGAUUUUACUAUCAAUAUUAUAGUUUAGAGCCAUUUGUAUAAAAAAAAUGAAAAUUACUACACCUUUUUAUAGAUGUCUGUCUAUAUUUAUCCGUAUAUAUUAUAAUAAAGUUACCAGAUAUCAUCUUUGAAAAUCCUGAAUUAGGCUAGAGUAAUUCAAUUCUUCAAACUAAAAAAAAAUUGUGAAAAAUAAAACCAAAAACAAAAUAUUUAAAUGAUAUAAUCAAAAACACAGUCAAAAUAUCAAUAAGAAGUACACACUUAGAGACUUAGACUAUAACAUUCGAUGGGAAAUGGAAUAAAAAAGUCGGUUUAUCGUUUUUAGUAUGAUCAGUGACAAAGCACCUAGCAUAGUAAUAGAAUACUGCCUAUGUCAAAUAGAUGAAUUUUUAUUCUAAUCGCAUGACCAUGACCUUAAAAUAGUGUAAAAUUGUGAAAUUACAUGGUACAUUGUCGUGACUGACUACUCUCUUUUUUCUAUCGCUAUGCUUGGUGUUUCGUCUAUGGCCAACAGAUUCGGAAGCAUUAAAUGAAACAAUCAGAGCUGUCAUGACGACCAACGCUUUACCAAAUUGUGGAAUUUGGUAAGAUUUGACUCAUGGGACGAACGACUAAGUCACCUUAUAGGUGCGAUAACGAUAUACAUAAUGUGCAAUCAAAGUUAUUAACAUAAACGAAUUACUCUCAUGUUUCUGCACGUGUUAUAUCUGAUAGUUACGUGAUUCCAUCAAAGCAGUAAAUAACAUAGCUACCUGUAGAGAGAAACUCUCCACAGGUUUCAAUUCACAUUUUCCAAACAUGCUAAACGAUGUAAUUGAGUGAGUGAAUCGAACUGUUAGUUGUAAGGAGUUUGACUCACAAUUUGUUUUAACCGGUGUUACAAGAAAGGUAGUCAAGUCCGAUGAAGAUAAUCUUUUGAAUUCUCCGUUCAUUUUUGGCCCAUUUUUUCAUGGGCUUACUCAGCUCCGAAUGAUGCACACGAUGUGGAUACUGUCAAAAAGUGUUCUGUAUCAAUUCUAUCAAUUGCAGUCCAAUUAGUUAUAUAAAUUCGAUAUGUGAUAAAUAUCGACAUUACAAUAUAUUCUAUACAAGCGCUACGUUCUGUAGUGUUGAUAUUUUAUGUGGAAUAAAUCGGAUCGAAUUAGCAUACAAUUGUAGAAGCGAUAAUUUCAUAAUAGGCGCUCUCAUUCAGGUUCAUUUGCAUUUCAUCAUUGCUCACCACACAAAUUAGUUAUCAUUGGAACAAACUGAUAUUCAAUGAAACAUUGUAGUCGAGGUAACUUAAUUUUUUUGUUGACGAGCGUAGUCCACGAGAAGUUAUAUACUCGGCGAGUGACAUCUGUUAGAAAGAAAAAGGAAAGGAUCUAGAGAAGAAAAUUUUAUGAGGAAUUUAGAAUCUUGUCAAGUGUAGACUUUGGAGACGUUUAGAUUCGUGACGAUGUCACACCCUUGGAGUUCAGAGCUUCAAAGUUAACCAUCGAGAAGUUCAAUUUCUUGAGAAGAGUUAAUUUCCUUAAGGAAUACUGAACCUUCAGUAGUUUAGACUCUUCAUAAAUUUAUAUCCUUCCAUAGCACUUCUCCUAGCAUUAAAAUCGAAAAUAUUAGUAGGCAGAUGAAAUCACCACUGCAUCAUUGCGGCUAGGAGUCAAGCAUUGUAAGUAAAAACACUCAAUGUAUACAAUUGUACAUGUUUGAAUGUAUGAAUGUAUCGAGGGUAUACUUUGACGUUUGAAGUACGAGUGUUAAUGCUAACAGCAGUGCUAUGACGCUUCAUGAAGUUAGAAAACAAAAUUGGUAGAGAAAGUUUCAGUAUUGUAUCUGCCUAUGCUUAUUUAUACAAAAAAGAACUUAUCGUUGAAGUGCACUCUACUUCACAUCAGACAAGUUUGCAAAAUAACUUUACGAUAGUUCUUCCUGCAAAGAAAAAAAUCUUACCUUACUUUUAACAAAAUCAUUUAAUUUAAACGUUUUUCAAUUAAAAUGUUGCACUAGACAAUGUCUUCUGACAAUGGAAAAAAUAUUCCAUUAAAUCUCGUUACUCUCAUUCGAGUUUCAUAAGAUUUCUGAUCGGCAACUAAACGUUUAAUGAACGAAAAAAGUUUCUUUACAUUCGUGCUUCACAAUACUACACACAGAACAUUUGUGUCAGUCAGUAUACCUCCCAAACACGUAGAUAAAUAUUUAUAAUCUUCUGAUGGAAAACAGAACAACUUAGAUGGAAAAUGUUUUCCAUUCACCGGAGGAUGAUGGUUGUGGGGCAUUGAAUAAAAACGCCGCAAAGUUUCAACACAACAACAACAAAAAUAAUAUUUUACCUAAAAAUAAAAUGAUAUCGGUCGAAAAGUUUGCUACAAUGCCGGCAAUGGAAGUUAAAAACGAUAAACUGAAAGCCAUAGGAAAAAGGUGUAUGUGUGUUCGAUAUGUGCUUAUUCAACCGUUCCCGAUAUUAUGCAACCACACACAACCGUUCCGAUAUAAAAUUGAACGGGAAAAAAGUAUUGUCGAACAAGUUAAGUCUGAGAGAUAUUUAUGUACAUUCCUUUGGAAUUAAAUGAUAAUAUAUUAUUGUGUGUAACUUUAAGACUUUUCGCAAUGAAUUGAAUAUUUAAAAAAGAAAAAAAAAUGAUAAUAAACGAACCGAAAAAGCAUAUUGAUUUUUAUUGAGGUACCUACAUCCAUAUAUAGAUUAUACAUACACAUUCAUCUCUAUACUAUAUUAUAAAUUACAUUGUGAUCGAUAUAGCUAUUCUCUCUUCAUGUAAAAGAUUGAAAGAUUUAAUUUUUGGUAUCGAUAUAGGUAGCAGAUACAGCUAAAAAUUGAAUCAACUUCAAUCCUAACUAUGUUUUUAGUUCUAUUUUAUAAGACAUUAUAUCAA